GACGAACGCUGGCGGCGUGCUUAACACAUGCAAGUCGAGCGGAAAGGCCACUUCGGUGGUACUCGAGCGGCGAACGGGUGAGUAACACGUGAGUAAUCUGCCCUUCACUUUGGGAUAACCCCCGGAAACGGGAGCUAAUACCGGAUACGACCUUCAACCGCAUGGUUUGUCGGUGGAAACUUUUUUGGGUGGGGGAUGUGCUCGCGGCCUAUCAGCUUGUUGGUGGGGUAAUGGCCUACCAAGGCUUUGACGGGUAGCCGGCCUGAGAGGGUGACCGGCCACACUGGGACUGGGACACGGCCCAGACUCCUACGGGAGGCAGCAGUGGGGAAUAUUGGACAAUGGGCGGAAGCCUGAUCCAGCAACGCCGCGUGAGGGAUGACGGCCCUCGGGUUGUAAACCUCUUUCAGCACCGACGAAGCGCAAGUGACGGUAGGUGCAGAAGAAGGACCGGCCAACUACGUGCCAGCCGCCGCAGUAAGAC
rnacentral:rRNA from 1 species